GGAGUCUGGGCCGUAUCUCAGUCCCAAUGUGGCCGGUCGGUCUCUCAACCCGGCUACCCGUCGUCGGCACGGUGGGCCUCCACCCCGCCGUCUGCCUGAUGGGCCGCGACCCCAUCCCGCGCCGCCGGAGCUUUCCCGGCCGGCCCAUGCGGGCCCGCCGGAGUAUCCGGUAUCAAUCCCCCUUUCGGGGGGCUGUCCCGGUGCGCGGGGCAGGUUGGUCACGUGUUACUCACCCGUUCGCCACUUUAUCCACCCCCGGAGGGGCUUUAACCGUUCGACUUGCAUGUGUUAGGCACGCCGCCAGCGUUCAUC
rnacentral:rRNA from 1 species